rnacentral:rRNA from 1 species
AUUGAACGCUGACGGCAGGCUUAACACAUGCAAGUCGAGCGGGGUGAUGGUGCUUGCACUAUCACUUAGCGGCGGACGGGUGAGUAAUGCUUAGGAAUCUGCCUAUUAGUGGGGGACAACAUCUCGAGAGGGAUGCUAAUACCGCAUACGUCCUACGGGAGAAAGCAGGGGAUCACUUGUGACCUUGCGCUAAUAGAUGAGCCUCGGUCGGAUUAGCUAGUUGGUGGGGUAAAGGCCUACCAAGGCGACGAUCUGUAGCGGGUCUGAGAGGAUGAUCCACCACACUGGGACUGAGACACGGCCCAGACUCCUACGGGAGGCAGCAGUGGGGAAUAUUGGACAAUGGGGGGAACCCUGAUCCAGCCAUGCCGCGUGUGUGAAGAAGGCCUUAUGGUUGUAAAGCACUUUAAGCGAGGAGGAGGCUCUUUUGGUUAAUACCCAAGAUGAGUGGACGUUACUCGCAGAAUAAGCACCGGCUAACUCUGUGCCAGCCGCCGCCGUAA